rnacentral:rRNA from 1 species
UACGUAGGCAGCGAGCGUUGUUCGGAGUUACUGGGCGUAAAGCGUGCGCAGGCGGUCUGUUAAGACCGAUGUGAAAUCCCCGGGCUUAACCUGGGAACUGCAUUGGGGACUGGCAGGCUUUGAGUGUGGCAGAGGGAGGUAGAAUUCCACGUGUAGCAGUGAAAUGCGUAGAGAUGUGGAGGAAUACCGAUGGCGAAGGCAGCCUCCUGGGCCAACACUGACGCUCAUGCACGAAAGCGUGGGGAGCAAACAGG